UUUUUUUCCCUCUGCUUGCUUCUUACUGUCUUUGAGGCUCGGGACCAGCACUCCUGCUGUUGGACAGAAAGACAUCAACUCAGUGGUAAGUAUUUUGGUUUUCCAAUAUAUUAGCAACUGUCAGUGACAUUUAUAUUAAUCAGGCUGAACUUUAAUCAUACUUUAGAUCAGCCUGUUUUACUUAUUGUUUUAUUUGUGCUUUGGUUUGGGGAAGUUGUUUCUUCACUGAUCUUUUCCUGUCUUCUGUUAUUAGACUUGAGAUAUGACUGCACUAUGCUGUUGCUGGUGACUCCAGUUAAUUCUACAAGACAUGCUGUGACACCAGGAGAGAUGAGUCCUCUGUCACAGAUGGUGUGGUGAGUGAAGAUGGUCGCCUGCAGGUUCAAGUUCAUUGCAUCUCCAACCCACAUCCACUGGCACUGUACUUAAGGGAAGUUAAAGACUUUCUUCUGC
ensembl:lncRNA